UGGUAAUGCCGGAUGCUCCGGUUGGAUGCAUGUCCUUCCGGGAAAGAUUCCAUCGGUAUGGGAUGGGGUCGCGUCCUAUCAGCUUGAUGGCGGGGUAACGGCCCACCAUGGCUUCGACGGGUAGCCGGCCUGAGAGGGCGACCGGCCACAUUGGGACUGAGAUACGGCCCAGACUCCUACGGGAGGCAGCAGUGGGGAAUAUUGCACAAUGGGCGCAAGCCUGAUGCAGCGACGCCGCGUGCGGGAUGGAGGCCUUCGGGUUGUAAACCGCUUUUGAUCGGGAGCAAGCCCUUCGGGGUGAGUGUACCCUUCGAAUAAGCACCGGCUAACUACGUGCCAGCAGCCGCGGUAAUACGUAGGGUGCAAGCGUUAUCCGGAAUUAUUGGGCGUAAAGGGCUCGUAGGCGGUUCGUCGCGUCCGGUGUGAAAGCCCAUCGCUUAACGGUGGGUCUGCGCCGGGUACGGGCGGGCUGGAGUGCGGUAGGGGAGACUGGAAUUCCCGGUGUAACGGUGGAAUGUGUAGAUAUCGG
rnacentral:rRNA from 1 species